rnacentral:rRNA from 1 species
UACGAAGGGGGCUAGCGUUGUUCGGAAUUACUGGGCGUAAAGCGCGCGCAGGCGGUUUUUCAAGUCAGUGGUGAAAGCCCGGAGCUCAACUCCGGAACUGCCAUUGAAACUGUAAAACUUGAGGACGAGAGAGGUGAGUGGAAUUCCCAGUGUAGAGGUGAAAUUCGUAGAUAUUGGGAAGAACACCGAUGGCGAAGGCAGCCAUCUGGACCGACACUGACGCUGAGGCGCGAAAGCGUGGGGAGCAAACAGG